rnacentral:rRNA from 1 species
GACGAACGCUGGCGGCGUGCCUAAUACAUGCAAGUCGAACGCAUUGUCUUUCACCGUAGCUUGCUACACCGAGAGAAAAUGAGGGGCGAACGGGUGAGUAACACGUGUGUAACCUGCCCAUAAGCGGGGGAAAACACUUGAAAACAGGAGAUAAUACCGCAUAAUUCCAUUUACCGCAGGGAAGAUAGCUGAAAGGCGUGAUUGAGCCACUUAUGGAUGGGCCCGCGGCGCAUUAGCUAGUUGGUGGGGUAACGGCUUUCCAAGGCUGCGAUGCAUAGCCGACCUGAGAGGGUGAGCGGCCACCCUGGGACUGAGACACGGCACAUACGGCUUCGGGAGGCAGCAGUAGUGAAUCUUCGGCAAGGGGCGCGAGACUGACCGAGCAACGCCGCGUGCGGGAAGAAGGUUGUCGGAUCGUAAAACUCGGUUUUUAGGGAAGAACCAGGAUGAGGGUGGAAAGUUCAUCCCUUGACGGUACCUAAACAGAAAGCCACGGCUAACUACGUG